rnacentral:rRNA from 1 species
UACAGAGGUCUCAAGCGUUGUUCGGAUUCAUUGGGCGUAAAGGGUGCGUAGGCGGCGCGGUAAGUCGGGUGUGAAAUCUUGGAGCUUAACUCCGAAAUUGCAUUCGAUACUGCCGUGCUCGAGGACUGGAGAGGAGACUGGAAUUCAUGGUGUAGCAGUGAAAUGCGUAGAGAUCAUGAGGAAGACCAGUGGCGAAGGCGGGUCUCUGGACAGUUCCUGACACUGAGGCACGAAGGCCAGGGGAGCAAACGGG